UACAAUACUAAAGGAGCAGCAGCAGACACCGAUCGUUCCUCCUUCUCUCCUUCUCCUCUCCUUCUCUGGAAAUCGUCUAGCAACAACAAAAGGAGCAGCAGCAGACACCGAUCAAAGCCCACCAAUUACAGUCCACUCCGUCCCUUCCUCCCUCGCGCAGAUCGGGUGGCGGUGGUAUUAACGGCGGUGGUAGUCGAUUUAAAGCUCAUCAAGCCAUUAACGGCGGCGGUGGUAUUAACGCCUGUGGUAUUAACGCCGGCGGUGGUAUUAACGUCCCUUCGUCGUCACAAUCGUUCGGGUUAGUCGAUUUAAAGCUCAUCAAGCCAUCUUUUUCCUACACCACUACACCAGAUUAGGAAACUCAUUAAUAAUUGGAUCUGUCGAUUUAGGGUUUUUCUAUGUUGUUUGAAUUGGAACUGUUGGGAAGUUUGGUGAAUCGAAAAUUGUUGUUUUCUUUUUCGGAUAUGAAAAUGAACCAAGGGUUCAUGAAUUUUUUUCAGAUUAAUUAGUUUAAAUUGAUGUGAACGAAUUUAAUUUAUGUUUUGGUUUGAUGUCAAGAAUUUUGAUUAUGUUUUGGUUUCAGAUUUUGCAGACUACGAACAUCAAGAGGAAGAAGACGUAAUAUUAAAUAUAAAUAUUAAUUUUGUUUAUUAAUUAUUUAUUUUAUUUUUCUUUAAAACAAAAUAAAUAAUUAAUAAACAAAAUAAAUAUCAACAAAUAUUGCCAUGUCAGCAAAUAUUGACACGUGUCAGCCACGUCAUAGAAGGUUUAACACCACAGCUGUCAACAGCAGGGACACGAAUGAUCCAAAAAACAUAACGUUAAGUGUAUUUUUGGAUAAAAAAAAAAGUAUAAAAUGUUCGAUAGACAUUGAAAAAAAUGUCAGAAGUAUUUUUGGACCUUAUCUCGUCUCCGAUAGUGAGAUAAAAAAAGUAAAGUUAGAAAAUGGAAAAGUAAAAAUCUGCAUGCCUCUAUGAAAAAGCUGUAGCCUUUAGAUAGUUAGUAUGGGUAUGGGCAUGGGUAUGGGAACGGAUUUGACUGUACGGGUAUGGGUACGGAUACGUAUGCAUGCUUAAUAAUUCAAUUAUUAUAAGGUGCAAAUGUUGUUGCUAGUUAGGUAGGUAGGUCUUCUAGUUGCACAACAAUUUGAUUUCAAUACAGUUUGCAUAUAUACUUCUCAUGGUAGCAUGACUUGUUUUAUGUACCAUUAAUUAUAAGUAAUGCGAAUAUCAAUACGUUUUGAAUUAAACAAUUGUUUCAAGGGUUGUUAUUUUAUAUUAUUUUAUUUUAUUUUUAAUUAUUUGUCAUUUUAUAUAAUUUAGAAAAAUUAACAAUAAUUUUUUUAAAAUUAUUUAUCAUGAAAAAAUGUUACAAAUAAGAGAAAAAAUAUAAAAUAAAUAUGAUAGUUAUGAAAAUUUAAGGAUAUUAUAAAUAAUUAUAUUUAAUACUAUACAUUUAUUUUUUUAAUAAUUGUUUACCACUCCAAAAUAACAUAUAUUAAAGAGACGGGGAGAGUAUAUUUGUAUAAUAAUGAUAUUUGUUUGGUCUUUUAUCUCAAGUUUUAAUCGACUCCUUGCCUUCAACUUUUAUCAUCUCCCUCUCAUUCGCUCACUCACUCUCACACUCACACUCACACUCUCUCUCACACACACACACACAUAUAUAUAGAGUAAGAAUCUUAGACUCACCCAUCUAAAAACUCACUCGACUCACCUAUAUAUACACUCCUUUUUUGCUUCUCUUUCCUCAUUACAGUCAGCCCAAAAAAGAUCAAAUACGACUUUUGCUCGCCUCUCUCUCUCCGCGAAAAAUUGCAGCCCCUUGUCCCUCUCUCUUCGCGACGAGUCAGUCCCUUCUCUCUCCUCCGAAUCACCUUGCAGCAAUAUAUAUCGACGAAGAGAUCUCCACAUCAGCAACUGAAGCCAUUUCGCUAGACAAACUAAUACGAAGAGAUGUGAGCCCUUCUCGUCGAUUCGUCAAUUUUAGACCAAGGUAACAAAAUUAGAACUUUGUAUAUGGAUUUUCUUGUUGUAUGGGUUGAAAUCAGGCUUAGAUUUGUUCCAAUUUGUGUUUUGGUGUUCAAGAAUAGCUUUUUUAGGGCUUAAAAUUAAUGAGGGCCAAACCCUAUAAUCUGCAAAUUUUGGUUAAGAUUUUCUGUUUUCAGUUUAUUGUAAUAGUAAUGAGUCCAUCGUGAUAGUAAUUAAUGAGUCAUUUUUUCUGCUGAAGAAUUUACUUUGGUUGUGAGAAAAUUGCACUAAUAUAGUCAAAAUAGCUUGGGAUGGAGUUGGGUUCGGUGUACAAAGCUGGUAUGUUGUAGUCUUUUGAUGUAAAUAGAAAUGUUUUGCACAUCCUCUGUAAUGGAAAAUUUCAAAGCUGUUUGUACAAAAUUAUUGACAUUGUGGACUCUAAUGCGUACAGCGAGCUGGAGUAGUCUUAUCUCGCUAAUAUUAACAUUAGCCUUGCAUUUAUUUGCUGCUGGAAUAGUGUUUGUUUACAUAUUCUUUGAGUCAUUAGAUGGUGCGAUAUUAUUAAUUCCAGGGGGCACGCAUAUUCUUUGAGUCAUUUGCAGUUGAUUAAUGUAUUUCGUCUGCUGUCUAUUUGCUGCUGUCAGUUUUUUGUGCGACAGAUCAAGGCAAAUAAUGCCUGGAUUAAUUCGAAAGAUCAAUGGAAUGGAAGAUCAAUGGAAUGGAGCAAGAGAAGGAGAACAUGCGUGCAAUAACAUGCGUGCAAUAGGCAACAAAGGAAGAACAAAAUUAAUUAUUGCACUUGUAUGUUCUUGGUUAUUGAUUUUAAUAAUGUUAUUGUAGAAGGAGUAAAAAUUGUCAUUUGGCUUGAUUAAACUUUGGUGUUAAUUUAUUGUAACCUUGUCUAAGAAGGACAUGUAAUCAUAGUAUGAUUUCGUUUUUUAUGGUUGUGUAAUCGUGUGGUGGCAAUGAAAUAUGAAAUACUUAUUUACUAAAUCGUGUGGUGUGAAUGUUAUAUGUUACCUGUAC
rnacentral:lncRNA from 1 species